UUUAAAAUGAAGAGGAUAAAGACAAAGAAUUAUGUCAACAGGAACAUAAGAAGAUAUGUGUCCUUUUUAGGCAGAAAGGAAUAUGAUACUAGAUGGAAAUAUGAAUCUACACAAAUAAAUGAGGAGAUCAGAAAUGGUAAAGAGGAAAUACAUAUAAUGAUACUGAGGAAUGGAAAAAGACUUGCCAAAAGUCACCAAAGUAAAUUUCAGAGCUGGAAUUUGAAUUCAAGUUUUCUUGGUUCCAGUUCCUGUGGCAUAUGCGUCUCUGUUGGAAGGAGAAUUGCUACGUGUCCUACAUUCUCCUACUGCCAUCAUCCACCAAGGCGUGGCCGGGUGCAUGCUGACCCUCUGCAUUCAGCAGGCUGGGAAGCAGUAGAGCAUCUUCAGACUGGCGAUUACUGUAAUUAUGCUGAGAAACAGAGGGCUGGCUGAGAUUAGAACUGGGGAUUACAAGGAAAUCGUUGAAGACAACUCACGCUUCUAUCGACUCUAGGAACACUGGGAACGACGUUCUACACAAUAUUGCCCAUGUCCUCUAAGAUCCAUGUGACUGUUUCUCCAGAUUUCAGCAACAGAGAAAGGUUGCAUUACAGAGCUCGGUGUCCAGAAAGAGAGACUAGUGUGACAGCAUGGACUGGAGGUGGUGGAAGAUAAAUCAAGCUCAGUUUAUCCCUCUUAUUCCUAAGGAAAAACACAUCCCUCAUGGAGGCAGACAACUGUCUCACGUUGCUCUGGUGUUUACAGAAAGACAGAGCAGACUGUGGUGUGGGAGGGGGUGUAGAUAUGUGGUGUCGCCUUAAGGAUUCUGAAUGUCUAGAUCAUUUCUUUUUGGGCACAAUUUGGAAAUUUAUUUGGGAAUCCUGCGGUAUAGCCCACAUGAUUUGGGUGUUUCUUGGGGAUGAUGUGAAUAUUGGAUUCUCUAUUUAGAAAUUGUGUCUUGAUUAAGCCCUUUUCACUCUUUGAAUAUUUUUGAUUUUUAUUUCAAAAUAACCCAGUCCUUCUACUUAUGAGACACACCUAGGGCACCAUGACUAAUGCUUUAUUGUGGCUUUCUUACCUCAGCCUCUUCUUUCCCCUCCACUGCAGACAACCAGUUGGAAGCGUCUGUCAUACCUGCUUCCACUCUUUUUUUUAUCAUGCUCAGAUACGUGCAUAUACAGUUCUUGUUUGCAUUGCUGUGUGUAAAAUUCUUCCGUAUUAUAUACAUUUAUCUGCACCUUGAUUUUGUCACUUAAAAUAUAUUAUGGAGAUAUUUCCAGCUAACUGGUAUAGUUAUAAACCAUCUAUGGGAUGAAGAUAUCUUAAUUUAUUAGAGUAUUGCCCUUUGGUAGCUUUCAAUUUAUUUCUAUGUCUUUUGUUCUUUUCUGUUUUGUUUUGCCCCUGAAAGACCUGAUUGUGAUAAUCUUCCUUAUUCCUGAGUGUACCAGCAUUUUAAUUUUAGGAGAUAGAUUUACAAGAAUGGGAUUACUGGAUUAAAAUGUGUAUUUUAGUUGAUAUUACUAGAUUUCUUUUCCCAAAAGCUAUAACUAAUCUUAUUUUCACUGGCCUUAUUUGACGGUAUAAUUUCCCCUGUAUUCUGUUAGCAAUAGGUGUUAGCAUUUUUGUAUUUUACCAGUCUCAAUGGUACAUGACAUCCCAUAAUGACAUUAAUUUUCCCUUUACUGGUUAUCUGAAUCUGAACUCGUUCCCAACCCAUGAAUCACCUCAUCAGUGUUGCUGCCUGUGUUCCACUGUCUUUUGUUCCUACACAUUAUAAGGCCUUUUUGUAUAUCACAGAUACAACUCCAUCUGUUUUAUAGGUUUAAAUAUUUUUCCAGUGAUCACUCUUCUAAUAUUUUUCGUUAAUCAUGUCUGUUGCCAUAGGAAAAAUUUCCAUUUUUUUUUUUAAAGAUUUUAUUUUUUGCCUUUUUCUCCCCAAAGCCCCCAGGUACAUAGUUGUAUAUUCUUUGUUGUGGGUCCUCCUAGUUGUGGCAUGUGGG
rnacentral:lncRNA from 1 species